rnacentral:lncRNA from 1 species
AUUCUGGGUGAUCGAAGCGGACAAGUGAAAGAUCUCCAUGAGAUAGACGAUGGAGGUGAUUGCAGUCGAGACUAUGCAGCCACUGUGUGUGAUCCAUGCGAUGUAAAUCACUUCAUCAGUGAUGAUGACAACACAGAGUUUGACAGCUGUGAUCACACAACUGACCUUACAACAAUGGGUACUCAACACGAUACUAUGGACAGCGUGACACAGGGCGUGUUUCCAUCUGAAUGUAACAGUGAAGGGGGUGAUGUGGUUGAUGGCAAGGGCAAUGAAGUACCUCUCGAUGGAAGCCUGUCAACUGAUGCCGACAGAAGCAGAACACAACUUGGAGAUUUGUUUCAGGAGGUCUUGAACGAAAAGCUUGUCGUUUCCAAAGGCGAGA